rnacentral:rRNA from 1 species
UACGAAGGGUGCAAGCGUUAUCCGGAUUCACUGGGUUUAAAGGGCGCGCAGGCGGCUUUGUAAGUCAGUGGUGAAAGGCUUAAGCUUAACUUGGGAACUGCCAUUGAUACUAUAAGUCUUGAAUGUUGUUGAGGUUUGCGGAAUGGGUCAUGUAGCGGUGAAAUGCAUAGAUAUGACCCGGAACACCUAUUGCGAAGGCAGCAGGCUAAACAAAUAUUGACGCUGAGGCUCGAAAGCGUGGGGAUCAAACAGG